rnacentral:rRNA from 1 species
GCUCGUAGUCGGACUUUGGCUGAGAACGGUCGGUCCGCCGUUAGGUGUGCACUGACUGGUCUCAGCUUCCUGGUGAGGAGGUGUGCUUCACGGCCACUUAGUCACCGUGGUUACUUUGAAAAAAUUAGAGUGUUCAAAGCGGGCUUACGCUUGAAUAUAUUAGCAUGGAAUAACACCAUAGGACUCCUGUCCUAUUUCGUUGGUCUCGGGACGGGAGUAAUGAUUAAGAGGAACAGUUGGGGGCAUUCGUAUUUCAUUGUCAGAGGUGAAAUUCUUGGAUUUAUGAAAGACGAACUUCUGCGAAAGCAUUUGCCAAGGAUGUUUUCAUUGAUCAAGAACGAAAGUUGGGGGCUCGAAGAUGAUUAGAUACCAUCCUAGUCUCAACCAUAAACGAUGCCGACUAGGGAUUGGCGGAUGUUAAUUGAUGACUUCGCCAGCACCUUAUGAGAAAUCAAAGUUUUUGGGUUCCGGGGGGAGUAUGGUCGCAAGGCUG